rnacentral:rRNA from 1 species
UGUGUGUUAGUGGAAGCGUCUGGAAAGGCGCGCGAUACAGGGUGACAGCCCCGUACACAAAAAUGCACAUACUGUGAGCUCGAUGAGUAGGGCGGGACACGUGGUAUCCUGUCUGAAUAUGGGGGGACCAUCCUCCAAGGCUAAAUACUCCUGACUGACCGAUAGUGAACCAGUACCGUGAGGGAAAGGCGAAAAGAACCCCGGCGAGGGGAGUGAAAAAGAACCUGAAACCGUGUAC